GCGAAGUCUCGAGGGCUGCUGAGGAGCCGGAAUGCCGGACGGAGGCGAAUUUGGGAGCGCGGCGGCGGCGGCGCUGCUGCUGGUGUUGGCGGUCGCCGAGAGCCAACCCCACCCUCCUCCUCCCCAAAUCUACUCCUCGGCUGCCGGUGGGGCGGCGAGGGUGAGGGAGAGGCAGAUUAAAAGAACGGCGAGGAAGAACACGGUGUCUGCCAACUAUCCGAGCCGCUUCAGUGUUAGCUCCGCCUCCCCCACCUUCUCCUUCUUUUUCUCCUCUCCCGUUUUCUUCACCCGGUUCCGUUCUUCUUUCCCUCCUUCUCUUGCCCUGCAGUAGAGAUUGGGCGAAGGGAGAAAGAGCCGCACAGGUUCUUUUUAGCUAGGAGGGCUUCUGAGGGGCGUGGCUAAAGGAGGGGAAAAUGUGUGCGGGCACGUGCGCAUCCCGGCUGCAAAAGCAACCCAUAGAUCUCCCUAGACCUUUGGAGGGGAAGAGAAGCCUCUGUCGCCGCCGCCGCGCAGCAAGAGUAUCAUUGAUUUUCAUGGAGCGGGAAUGGAUUGCAUACACAUGCACGCGGGCGAGCUGGCGAGCCUGGAUGCAUCAACCCGCAAGCGCCAUCUCCGGAUGGGCUCCUGCUGAGGAGCACCAGCAGUCAACACCACCGCUGCUGCUGACUUGGGAGGUUUGGGACCCACUUUAUCUAGGCCAUGUUCAGAGUUGUUGUUGCAAACGGAAUCCCUGAUCCGGACCUCGUGCAGAGCGGAAAUGAAUUAGCUCUACACCCCGAGAACGGGUUUCGAAGCUUUAGACUGCAGAACAGUCUUAAAAUAGUUGCAAAUAAAAGUUGCAAAAUACAAAAUAGCACAUUGCUCUAAAACAAUGCAGUGCUGCCUUCUUUUUAGUCCUUAAUAAAUGUCUGUAGAUUUACUCUCUCAGAACCAAGAGAGACAUCCUGUGCAAGCAUCUUGCUUCUUCAGGAUAGCCGAGCUUCAUUUCUACUGCUGCUGGCUCCAAGGACUGAGGAAGAUGCUGAGUUCUCAGGUUUUAUGUCCUGUUGAGAGAGCUCUCAGCUUGUGUUUCCAGGAUGAGUCAUCAAUCAGUCUUAAACACCCUCCUUGUGGCAUAUACCUAGAGUUUAACCUCCUGUCUAAUGCAAACUUCUCUUUGCAAAUGCAGACCCUUUCAUAAGUCUUCUUUACAUCAAUGCAUCCAAACACUACAUUUUAUGCAUAUUAAACAUAUAUCUUUAUUAGGCCAGGGUCAGGGAACCUAUGGUCCUCUGUAUAUGUUGCUAGACACCCAACAUAUGCCACAGCCUAUGUGACCCUAGGGUCAGGAAAUACGGGUUGUAGUCCAACUUAUGGAGGGUCAACGUUUUCCCAUCCCAGCAAAAUGAUGUUGGACUCUGAUGGAUAGCUCAGUUGGCUAGAGCGUGGUGCUGAUAACACCAAGGUUGCAGGUUCAGUCCCCAUAAGGGACAUCUGCAUAUUCCUUCAUUGCAGGGAAUUGGACUUGAUGAUCCCCAGCACCCCUUCCAACUCUAUGAUUCCUAUUAGCCUCAGAAGACAUGGCCAGUGGUGAGGGACAAUGGCAACUGCAACCCAGUGACAUCUGGAGAAAAACAGGGGGCUGCAGUUGGUGUGAAGCUGGUUUGGGAAACUGCCUCAAACAGUAGUAUUUCACAAUGAAGUGCAACAUACAUAUGCAGUUUGGGUAAUGUAUAUAAUAAUAAUAAUAAUAAUAAUAAUAAUAAUAAUAAUAAUAAACUACAAUAAAAAAUCAAUAUGACUAACACACUGCGCCUGCCUUUCUUCACAGACACACCAUGUACUGCCUGAUUGAAGCUUGCAGACCACAGUUUGGACCUUGGACCACUGUUGGAGAACCCCUGUUCUAGUAGCUCUACCAAUCCCUGCUCUACCAAGAGGGAGAGAAAUAAUUGUGAAUAGAUGGCAACUGCUCCUGCCUUUGCACCCUUGAUGGGGAGGAAUGCAUCCUGUCCCAAAACAUCCUUGCUCCUGAAUGUGGGAAGGUGAUCUGUUGUUACUCAGUGGUGAGGAAAAGGCAUCCCGCACAACCUCAGAUGGCCUCACAUGUUCCAGGACUCUGAGACGUGGCCUUUGUGUUCAAAACAGAACCUAGUGAAACCUGGGAAGACUGUUUCAAUAAGAAAAUUCAUGGUUGCCAGUGGCAAAUGUUUAACUUUAGAUAGAUAGGAAAUGGCAGGCUCCUACUUGCCGGAAAAUCACACCUGGUAAUAUUGGCUGCCAGAAACUCUAUAAAUGAUGUGAUAGGACAAUGGAGUGUGCAACAGAAGAAGUACUUUUCUUUAUUUUAUUUAGCCCCAAUUUGAGGGGUUAUUUAGAAGAGAUGCAAAGGCACAGCAUUUUACUCAGGCUUUUGGGAACAUUUGAUUACUGAUCAUCACCUGUUAAUGAUUUUAUUGGUUGUACUGUUGCUUUAGUAAUUUAUUAUGUAAUGUAUGUUACUGUUUUAUUGUUAUAUAACCCGCCCUUGGAGCUUUGGUGAAGGGCAGGUAAUAAAUGCAUAUAAUAAAUAAAUAAAUUUAAUAUA